rnacentral:rRNA from 1 species
GACGAACGCUGGCGGCGUGCUUAACACAUGCAAGUCGAACGGAAAGGCCCUGCUUUUGUGGGGUGCUCGAGUGGCGAACGGGUGAGUAACACGUGAGUAACCUGCCCUUGACUUUGGGAUAACUUCAGGAAACUGGGGCUAAUACCGGAUAGGAGCUCCUGCUGCAUGGUGGGGGUUGGAAAGUUUCGGCGGUUGGGGAUGGACUCGCGGCUUAUCAGCUUGUUGGUGGGGUAGUGGCUUACCAAGGCUUUGACGGGUAGCCGGCCUGAGAGGGUGACCGGCGACAUUGGGACUGAGAUACGGCCCAGACGCGUACGGGAGGCAGCAGGGGGGAAUAUUGCACAAUGGGCGGAAGCCUGAUGCAGCAACGCCGCGUGCGGGAUGACGGCCUUCGGGUUGUAAACCGCUUUCGACGGUGACGAAGCGUGAGUGACGGUAAUGGGUAAAGAAGCACCGGCUAACUACGUG